ACCGUGCCAUUGGGGAGGCAGAUGAUCAUCUCCACAGGGAAGUUGUAUUUUUCAAGGUGCAAGUCAGCCAGCUUGCUGUAGAACUCAUUCUCCCUGUUUGUCUCUCUUCCAGCUCCUUUACAAGUGACCAGCUGCUAAUGAAACUCUCAUUCAGCAGGGCGAGGAUGGGCGAACUUUCCAGGACAGUCUCCCGGAGAGUUCGCCCUGAACCUGGCACACAAAGAGAAGCAGACAGUAGUUUGCAGUGACUGAUUAUUGCCAUGAUUCAUGCCACUGCUGAGUUGCUGCAGCAGCUGGCUUAGGCUCCCCCUAACCUGGCACAUGGUCUUAUCUCCACUCUGCUGACAGUUUUCCAUAGCUUACUGCUUCCAGUGUAUGCUGCUGGUAAAGAAGACUCACCAGAGCAGACCCUACCCACCUGCAAAACAGCACAAGGACCAGGGCGAGAACGUCAUGGGGGCUGACUGGUUUGGUGCUUUCCAGAAAAGAUCAGACCCUGCACACUCACCCUGAGUGCCUCUUGCUUUUCAUACUAAGCAGAGGAAUCUGCUCAGCGAAUUUUUAAAGGCAGACAGGACAAAGAUAAUCACACCUCUCCCAAAUAUUACUCCUAUCUAAUGUAGCAUGCAAGUUACUGGGCACAUGGAGAAAUAGUCACACAGCACGACAAUUCCAGGCCUAUGCCUGGCUCUGGCUUCUCCUGAGCAGGUGUGAGGGACAAAGCAGACAGCACUGUCUCUUGUACUCUGCAGAUGCUGCCUCUACCUUAGCAGACUGAGAAGGGAAGAGAAAGAGGGAAGACCAGAUCCACAGCUCCCCCUCAACAGAGGCAUCUGAAUUACUGAGUCACCUCGGGCUUUUCGCUAACAGAUCUAAUCUCACCACUGGUAUCUAAGCUCUGAUCAGUAAUUCCCCACUUCCAGCCCUUUUCUAUUCAGGCAUUUUCAGUAUCAAAACGAUUAACAAAGCAUUUGCCACAAAAUCCCUGACACUUAGCCCUUCUUAGACCCAGAAUGAGGUACAUCAUUCUUCCAGCUGCUGUGGAAGAGUCCCUCACCUCAGCAGGACUGGUCAUCCAGGGCACCCCACAGCAGGAUCGAGUGCACCAGUUUCUUUUCUGCUUUUGCUCUCUCAAAAGCUUCUGUGAAGGGAAGAUAGGAGACCUGGAGACAGAUAGGAGACUUGAGAAGCAGACACAGAACAGCCCAUCCCAAAUACAAAUGGGAUCUGAAGGAACCAAAUCUGGAACACCCCAGAGGUGACAUACAACAACCCACAGUAGUUCCUGUAGAUCAAAGCAAAUGCUAACUGUGGUGCUCUCCCCGGGGGGGGGCUUUUAUCUUCCCUCACUACAGAGACUACAUAAAGUAAGGAGGCACUUCAUUGGCAAGAACAAUCUCUUUUCCUGCUGACUUUCAGCUGGUCAUCUUGCUACUACUGCUCAGGUAGAAUGCAGCAAGGCAUACCAAGUCUGAAGCAUUAACUGUGUUACCACGUGACCCAUAGCCACUCCUUUAGGAAACAUUCAGGAAGAUAAAAUUACCCUCAAGUCUGAAAAACAGCUGAGGAUGCAGUGAGAUUGUAACAAACCCCUCAUAGCAUGUGGGUUUUUAUUUGCACACCCAACUUUACACACUGCAGACAGCCUGCAAAUGUGCCUCUGCAGGCUGGGAAACCUGAACUUGAGAUAUUUAUCACAAAAUGUCACUGAAACAGCUUAAAAAAUGUCUGAGAAAGACCCUGCACAGAGAAUGUUCUCAUCACUCGAAUGAAGGGAACUUUAUUAUCACCUGAGCAGGUGAAAGUGAGAUUUGCAAGCUCAAGCACAAGGCGAUAGCCAUUGGAACAUUCCUUAGCCAAGGAAGGAGUGACAUGCAGCUGCCAUCUGUUCCAGAGACUAUUGUCAUAUUCAAUAGUUUCUAUAUAUAACCCAAUGCUAUAAAUCUGUGGUUAGGACACAGCAGCAUAGGGAACACACACUGAGCUGGGAGACCCUCAAACCACUCUGAGUGCUGAUCAGGUUGUGGCCUCUGGUUUCUGCUGGUUCUCAAAGUGACUGGACACCUCAGUAAAAAUCACCUGUCACAGUGAAAUAUGCCAAUGAAAAGUACAGCCUGUUCCUCACCUUCUUAAAUGGAUACAUGGCCACUUCCAGCUUCUGGGCUGCCUCUUCCCAGGGGAUUUCCUGCUGCCAGGUUAUCUCUUCAAACACAAACUGAAUAGGCUCCCCUGAGGGAUCCCUGCUGUCAAUCACAUUUCCGUUCUCAUCAUAUAUCACAGAGGGGACCGAGGGCCCUGUGGAUUCCAGCUCCAUCUACAGGAGAAGAAGCUCAGAGUCAGACAUUGUAGAUAUUCAGCUAUGGGUUCUUCUGUACACCAGGAUAGGAUAAAGAUGCAAAUUAAGACUGUACAGCUUCUAAUGAAGAUAUUUCUCCUGGAGCUGCACCUGAACAACUGUAGAUCUGUUUUAUUGGGGAAUAACAGGAAAGCAAAUUCAUUUCCUUCAGUUAUUGUCUGCCUGUGCUAUCUAGAUUGGAAAUGCAUGAAACUUGUUCAUUAUGUGCUGCUAUCUUCGGAGUGGAGAUUAUUGACUGUGGGAUAUCAGACCCUCAAAAUGAUUACAUUCUGCAGAGCUAAUCUUGUUCACAUGAUCAGCAAAGCCCUUAUACAGUCUGUGCCUACAGCCACAAGAAGGUGCAACAAAGAAAGCUGUUCAGGAGCUCCCCUGUAGCUCAGCCUCCUGGUACAGUGGAAACUAUUUUUUAAGUCUGUUUUCACUAAUUUUGCUGAUUAAAAACAUUAGUUCAGGAGAAAAUGGGACUGUUAAAUUCAGGUAUUUAGAAUCUGACUCAUGUUUCCUGUCCCAAGAGCUGGGAUUACCACAAAAUAGAGGAAUAAGCUCAUGCAGUUUCUAAAUCCAGACACGCUGUUGUACAUACAGCCCUCUGGGCUCAGAGCCUGCAUUCAGCUCCCUCAUCUCUUCUGCCUGUCAGUCAACUUUUUAAAAAUAGAAAAAUUCAUGUGACUCCAGGAGGUUAAGAUUCAACCCACAGAGACCAACAGAGGGGAGUAAAAAGAUCAUAAGAGCUGCAAAUAGUCAUGGCGCUGCAAAGGACAUCUACAGAUCAACUGAGAUUAUAUUAUUAUAUUGAAGCAUCCAACAGAAAGCUCUAACUAGCAAGGACAACUGAGGUUAUGCAGCUCAGGCACAAGGCAGCAUAAAU
ensembl:lncRNA